rnacentral:misc_RNA from 1 species
GAUGAAGAACGCAGUGAAAUGCGAUACGUAAUGUGAAUUGCAGAAUUCAGUGAAUCAUCGAGUCUUUGAACGCACAUUGCGCCCCCUGGUAUUCCGGGGGGCAUGCCUGUCCGAGCGUCAUUGCUGCCCUCAAGCACGGCUUGUGUGUUGGGCCUCCGUCCUCCUCCCGGGGGACGGGCCCGAAAGGCAGCGGCGGCACCGCGUCCGGUCCUCGAGCGUAUGGGGCUUCGUCACCCGCUCUUGUAGGCCCGGCCGGCGCUUGCCGACACAUCAAUCUUUUUUCUAGGUUGACCUCGGAUCAGGUGGGAUACCCGCUGAACUUAAGCAUAUCAAUAAGCGGAGGA